CCCCAUUGCAACGGGCAAAGAGAUACCUUGUUGGUGGUGUUCUUGCAUCAGUCAGGGGCAGAGCAGAUGGCAGUCCUUUGUUUAUCCUAGCUUGAUGCUUGGAUUAGUGGCCAAAGCUGUCUUAUGCUUAAGACUCAUAA